rnacentral:rRNA from 1 species
UAAUAAAAUAAUUAAUAAUAAAGAGAACAUGAUGUUGGUUCAGAUCAAAUGCUAUGUAGAAGCAUAACACAUGCAAGUUAUUUUAAUAUUUAUUAAAAUAGCGAUAAGGUGAGUGAUAUAAGAUAAUAAAUUAUCUUAUUCAGAUGUAGGUAUUAGAGUUAAUCUAGCCAUCGAACUGGAGCCGACGAUUAUCGUCACAACGGCCACAUUGAUAUAAUAUCAACUCUUAUUAAGAGCAGCAGUGGGGAAUCUUUGACAAUGGUCUAACGACUGAUCAAGCUAUCUACGAGAAGGAAUUAUUAAAUACUUAUUCUUUAAGAAUAAGUUAAAUAUAUCCUUAUUUAUAAUAUGGAUAUGUAAUAAUAAUAAUAAAGAUAAAAACUAUAAACUUCUAAGUAAUUAUAAUAAUGAUAUAAAUUACGAAAGAGUCCUAACUAAAACAUGUGCCAGCAGCUGCGGUUAGACAUGGAGGGCUAGCAUUGUUCAAAAUGGCUUAAAGGAUCUGUAGAACUUAUAAAUAUAUAAUAUAUAUAUUUAUAUAGAAUAAAUUAAAGGUAAUAAGAAAUAAAGUUAUAGAGAUAAAAUUCAUCGAAAACAUUAUGACUACAAAGAGAUUACUUAAAUUUAUUGACGUUGUGAGAUGAAGGCUACGGUAGCGACAUGGAUUCGAUACCCAUUUAGUCGUAGCAGUAAACUAUGAGUACAAUAAUUAGAAAAGUGAAAAUGAAUAGUACUCCGCCUGACUAGUACGCUCGCAAGGGUGAAAUACAAGACAUUAGACGGUUGUAGUCCCUAGCAGUGGAACAUGUCAUUUAAUUGGAUGAUCCCCCUUAAACCUUACCAUCUCUUGAAUUAUUAACCGGCGUUACAUCGUUGUCGUCAGUUCAUGCCGUGAGGUAUUAUAUUAAGUUAUUAAAUGAACGUAACCCUUUUUCCCCCUCUAUAUAUUUAUAUAUAGUUAUGGAAAUAUUUAUUAUUUUACGAUAAUAGGAAGUCGAGGUUGAAGACUAAUCAUGAUGACCCUAAUGAGAUGGGCUAUAGACGUGUUACAAUAUUAUUUACAAUUAUAAUAUAUAUACUCAUAACUCUUUUAGAGUUAUUAAUUAUAUUAAUAUAUAUUUAUUUAAAUGAUAAGAAUAUGACAUAGUUUUCUUUUAUGGAUUGUAAUCUGAAAUUCGGUUACAUAAAGGAGGAAUUGCUAGUAAUCGCGAACUAGAGUGUCGCGGUGAAAUUUUUUGCUACUUCGUACUAACCACUCAUCAACAGCAAGAAAUUUUUAUUUUCCUCUUUUACUUUUUUUUAAGUUUAAUGAGGUUAAUUGAUAAAGGACCUGCUGUAAGUUGAAAUACGGUUCGGUUAGGGGAACCUGAUCGGGAUUUAUAUUUUAUAAUUUAUUCAUCUUCAUGAAUGAAUCCCCCACUCCUACGGAGUGGGAAUUUAUUCAUCUUUUAGGGAAAGAUGGAUCGCCACCUUCGGUGGCUUUCAUCUUAAACCCUUUGGUUAAAGAAAGAAUGAAUCCCCACUCCUACGGAGUGGGCAUUUAUUCUUUUAAAACCUUUCUUCGGGUUUCUAAUAAGCACCUUCGGUGUGGAUUAUACUCUUUAUAGAUAUCAUAUAUCGCUCAUUAUGAGUGGUAUAUUAUUUUAAUAUCCCACCCGCCACCUUUAGUGGUGGGUGUGGAGAUAUAUCAGUAUCCUUUAAUGGAUACUGAUAUAUCUGAUACCCCCUAUUUAUAGGGGUAUUAAAUAUAUCUAUCUGCCAUUGGCAGAUAGAUAUAUCUGAUUCUAUUGAUAUAAAAUAUCAAAGAAUUAAAUAUAUCCAUUAUUGAUGGAUAUAUCUGAUCCCAUCCAAAGGAUGGGAUUAAAUAUAUAUGCACGGAGGUGCAGAUAUAUCUGAUAUAUCCCGGAGGGAUAUAUUAAAUAGUUUAUAAAUAUAGAUAUGGAUA